UACAGAGGUCUCGAGCGUUAGGCGGAAUCACUGGGCUUAAAGCGUGUGUAGGUGGAUCGUUAAGUACCUUGUGAAAUCCCACGGCUUAACCGUGGAACUGCUUGGUAUACUGGCGGUCUUGAGCCACCUAGGGGCAACCGGAACAAACGGUGGAGCGGUGAAAUGCGUAGAUAUCGUUUGGAACGCCAAUGGUGAAAACAGGUUGCUGGGGGUGUGCUGACGCUGAGACACGAAAGCCAGGGGAGCAAACGGG
rnacentral:rRNA from 1 species